AAAACCCCUAGGUUUCUUUUCCCCUUAAUUUUUCCCUUUUCUCUCUUCUUCGUUUUAUCUCUAACCUAAGUCACAGCGGCGGCCAUCACUCCCCUCCACUGAAUCCUUCUCUAUCUCGCUCUAUGAAACGGAUCGAUCACCGAAUCACUCUUUCUAUUCAACAAGGACAUUGAAGAGCGAAUAAAGUUGUGAACAUCUAUGGAUUACUCGAGAUUUAUUUAUUUUUUCUUCUGUUAUUAACUGAAUUUGAGGUUUUAUUUUCUUUCUCAGUUUUUUUUUUUAAUUGCAAGCAAGAUUUCAUCUCUAAUGAUCAUUGAAGGGUUGAAAUUGGUUUUUAUUUCAAUUUUUUCUGUGUUAUUGAACGCUAAAGCAUUUUAUUAUUGGAAUAAUGGGUUAUUGAAGAACAAUUUGAAUUUUAUGUUUUUUCAUUUUCUAUUGAUGAUCUUUCUGAGUUGAAAUUUAGGGUCUGAAGCAUUGUGCCUAGUUUUCUUCUGUUCUAACUUUUCUUAAUUCGUUUCUAUUUUUGUUAAAUUAUAUUAAAUUGUUUAGUUUUUCUUAAUUUUAAUCACCUGUUAGGGUUUAUAUUUAUAUAAUGGGUAUCUGCAGUUGGUGUUUAUCUAGGAUAACUGCUUGCUAGUUAUUAUCUGCCUUACAUGUUUGUGAAUAAGAGUUUCUAGUGUAAAUCUCAUACGAUUUUGUACAACCGUAACUCUCUUUUAUUUAUAAUGCUCUUUUGGAUGGUUUUCCAUUAUUCUGUAAAGACAAAGUUCAGGGAAUGACUCAGGCAGACAUCUUGAUCAGGAGAGGUUCGGUUAGAAUGAAUUGGUUGUAGUGUUACCAAAUGAGUUGGAAGUAAUCAGUUGGAGUUACCUUAUUGAAGUUUAUAUCUUUUGUAUAGUGAUUUUCUUUGGAGAACUGUUUAUGAUUUGGAUGACAUCUUGCACAUUCAUGGAGUUGUUUGUAGAUUAUCUGUGUUCGUAAAAUUGGUUCAUUUGUUGUAUAGAUAAAAUUAUGUAAGAUGCCUAUUAUUUGUCCUCACAUGGCUUAAUAUGAUGCUAGUUGAUUAUGUUGUGCAACCUGUGUCCUUGGAUUUAAAUACAUGGUAGAUAUUGUUAGGUUGAUUGUCUCCUCUUGGAUGCAACCUGAACCUCUUUACUAGUUGUUGUUGCAAAGUUGAGAUGUGAUAGACUAUCUUUAAAUAAACCGCAUAAUAUUAUAGAAAAUAUGCUUGUAAAAAAAUCACAACUAUAGCCUAACCUCAAUUAAUUGUUUUUCCUACUGUUUGUCGCUUAAAUUAUGCCCAGAUAUUUGUACAAGUACGGUUAUACAAAAGUCACAACUGUAACAUAGCUUUAGUGAAUGUGUUUUUCUACUUGUUUUUCUUUGUGUCUUGCAUCAAAGUGAUACUGGAAAAAGAAGACUUGCCUUCACAUUUGGAUUUGGAUGUAGUCGCCAGUAUGACUGAUGGGUGUUCAAAUCUCUGUGUUCCUACAAAGUACUGUUCAAUAACAGAGAAUUCUGGAAAAGGAGGAGGAGAAGCAGCAUUAGCAGCUGGAAGGCCCCCUUCCACACUGAGUGUGAGUAUGGAAAAAUACUCAUGAGCAGGUGGGUGCAAGUGUAUCAUCAGAAUCUUUUCCAACACGAACGAAUUUAAUGGUGAAAGUGGUUGGAGAAGGACAAAGCCGCCUAUGCUGCAGGAAGCGCGCAAAAAGCUUCAUUUGUCGAUUUGGAGAUCUCUCAUUGCCGUCCUUAAGCAUUUGUGUGGACUCAUGCAGCUUGUGAGCUGUUUCCUGAGUUGGACUAGGUUUGAAUGCUUCGCCUCCCUUCCUAGACCCUGCAAAACACAUACAUACCGAAGUAAGGUAACAGAUGGACUAUGAAGUAACAGAUGGGCUAUGAAUGGUCAGAGCUUAGUGAGUACAAACCCAGAUGCUGACUUUCAGCUGCUACCAAUCCCUCAAUAACAGCCUAUGUCCCGAGUGUCCUUGAUGUCUCUUAGUACUUUGGUGAUUGGUCACACGAAUAUGUUCCAAGUUUUUUGCUGUCUUAUAUUGGUUAACCAGAAGAGGUGGAUGGAUUUUGUAGUUGACUUCGUUGUAUUAUUUUUAGAAUAAAAUCCAUAUUUGUUUUUGCAUUGUACCCUUG